GGCCGCCUUAGCUCAGUCGGCAGAGCGAUUCACUCGUAAUGAAUAGGUCGUCGGUUCGAUUCCGACAGGCGGCUCCCA
rnacentral:tRNA from 1 species